rnacentral:rRNA from 1 species
CCCUUAGAUGUUCUGGGCCGCACGCGCGCUACACUGUUCGACGCAGCGAGUCUUAACCUUGACCGAAAGGUUUGGGUAAUCUUCAGCAAAGUCGAACGUGAUGGGGAUCGAUCAUUGCAAUUAUUGAUCGUGAACGAGGAAUUCCUAGUAAGUGCAAGUCAUCAGCUUGCGCUGAUUACGUCCCUGCCCUUUGUACACACCGCCCGUCGCUACUACCGAUUGAAUGGUUUAGUGAGAUCUCUGGAUUGACGCUGGCUAGGGGGCGACCCUUGGCCAGGCUGCCGAGAAACUGCUCAAACUUGAUCAUUUAGAGGAAGUAAAAGUCGUAACA